GCAUUAAUAGGGUAGUGGUAACCUGGGUUGUUGCCAUACACUACUAGGUUCCAUGGUUCAAUCCCCCCUUAAUGCA